rnacentral:lncRNA from 1 species
GCACAUGCAGACCAGAGGCAGACUGGAUUCCUUGGUCGGGCAGAGUUUUACAAUGCCCUUAGACUUGUCACUGUGGCACAAAGUAAGAGAGAACUUACGCCAGAAAUGGUGAAGGCAGCAUUAUAUGGCCCGGCUGCAGCUAAAAUACCUGCACCCAAGAUAAAUCUUGCAGCGACUCCUGCCCCUCAGUUCAAUUCUGCUGCAACAGCACCUGCCACUCAGGGUGGUGCUGUCACUCCGACGUCCUCGCAAAAUCUUGGGUUCAGGGGACUGCAAGUAACACCUCAGUAUAGUUCUUUUGGAGCAGCACCUGCCACUCAGGGUGGUGCUGUCACUCCAACAGCCUCCCAAGAUUUUGAGUUCAGGGGACCACAAAUACGAUCUCAGUUUAAUUCUGCUCCAACAGCGACUGAGGGUGGUGCUGUUACUCCAACAGCGACUCAGGGUGGUGCUGUU